GUUAUUUGAGAUAUGAAUAAUUUUGCCUGCUCAAUGUUAAAUAGCCGCAGGUUUAUCUGUGCAAAGGUAGCAUAAUCAAUUGUCUUUUAAUUGGAGGCUAGAAUGAAGGGUAAAACUGGGCACUAGGUUUUAUAAUUUGAAGUUUAGUUAACUGUAAAAACGCAGUUGUCAAUCUUUGGGACGAGAAGACCCUAGAAGCUUAUGGCGUCUUUUAGUUGGGGUGACUGGGGGAGAAACAUAACUCUAUUAAGUUACUCUAGGGAUAACAGCGUUAUUAAGGCUUGAAGUUCUAAUUGAAGCCUUAAAUUGCGACCUCGAUGUUGAAUUAAAGGGUGAAGUAGCUUUAGUCUGUUCGACUAUUAAAUAUUUACA
rnacentral:rRNA from 1 species